rnacentral:rRNA from 1 species
AGAGUUUGAUCCUGGCUCAGGAUGAACGCUGGCGGCGUGCCUAACACAUGCAAGUCGAGCGGCAGCGAGUUUUACACUGAAUUCUGGAAGCUUCUGGGUAAUAUAGAAGAUCUAUUCAAGAAUUUUGUGUAAAAUGUCGGCGAGCGGCGGACGGCUGAGUAACGCGUAGGAAUUUGCCCCAAAGUGAGGAAUAACUGCCCGAAAGGGUAGCUAAUGCCGCAUACGGUCUUCGGAUUAAAGCAUUUAUGCGCUGAAGGAGUGGCCUGCGUCAUAUUAGAUAGUUGGUGAGGUAAUGGCUCACCAAGUCGAUGAUGUGUAGCUGGUCUGAGAGGAUGAUCAGCCAGACUGGAACUGAGACACGGUCCAGACUCCUACGGGAGGCAGCAGUGAGGAAUCUUCCACAAUGGGCGAAAGCCUGAUGGAGCAACGCCGCGUGAAGGAUGAAGGCCUUCGGGUUGUAAACUUCUUUUAUGAGUGAAGAAUAUGACGGUAACUCAUGAAUAAGCACCGGCUAACUACGUGCCAGCAGCCGCGGUCAUACGUAGGGUGCAAGCAUUAUCCGGAGUGACUGGGCGUAAAGAGUUGCGUAGGCGGUUUAAUAAGUGAAUAGUGAAACCUGGUGGCUCAACCAUACAGACUAUUAUUCAAACUGUUAAACUCGAGAAUGGUAGAGGUAACUGGAAUUUCUAGUGUAGGAGUGAAAUCCGUAGAUAUUAGAAGGAACACCGAUGGCGUAGGCAGGUUACUGGGCCAUUUCUGACGCUAAGGCACGAAAGCGUGGGGAGCGAACCGGAUUAGAUACCCGGGUAGUCCACGCCGUAAACGAUGGAUACUAGCUGUUGGAGGUAUCGACCCCUUCAGUAGCGAAGCUAACGCGUUAAGUAUCCCGCCUGUGGAGUACGGCCGCAAGGCUAAAACAUAAAGGAAUUGACGGGGACCCGCACAAGCGGUGGAUUAUGUUCUUUAAUUCGAUGAUAACCGAAGAACCUUACCAGGGCUUGACAUCCAGGGAAGGUCUGCGAAAGUAGACUGUGCCUUUUGGAACCCUGUGACAGGUGAUGCAUGGCCGUCGUCAGCUCGUGUCGUGAGAUGUUAGGUUAAGUCCUUCAACGAGCGCAACCCUUGUGAAUAGUUGUAUUUUUCUAUUCAGACUGCCCCGGUAACGGGGAGGAAGGAGGGGAUGAUGUCAGGUCAGUAUUUCCCUUACGUCCUGGGCUAGAAACGUAAUACAAUGGCUAGUACAAUGCGCAGCGAAGCCGCGAGGUGAAGCAAAUCGCAUCAAAGCUAGUCCCAGUUCGGAUUGUAGGCUGAAACUCGCCUGCAUGAAGUCGGAAUCGCUAGUAAUCGCAAAUCAGCAAGUUGCUGUGAA